GGUUGUGUGGUGUAACUGGUAACACGCCUGCUUUUGCAAAGCAGAGAAGCGGUUCGAAUCCGACACGAUCC
rnacentral:tRNA from 1 species